UACGGAGGGUGCGAGCGUUGUCCGGAAUCAUUGGGCGUAAAGGGCGCGUAGGUGGCCCGGUCAGUUCGUGGUGAAAGCGCGGGGCUCAACCCUGCGUCGGCCAUGAAUACUGCCGCGGCUGGAGCACUGUAGAGGCAGGCGGAAUUCCGGGUGUAGCGGUGGAAUGCGCAGAUAUCAGGAGGAACACCAAUGGCGAAGGCAGCUCGCUGGGACGGUACUGACGCUGAGACGCGAAAGCGUGGGGAGCAAACAGG
rnacentral:rRNA from 1 species